GAUGAACGCUGGCGGCGUGCCUAAUACAUGCAAGUCGAGCGAACAGACGAGGAGCUUGCUCCUUUGACGUUAGCGGCGGACGGUGAGUAACACGUAGGUAACCUACCUAUAAGACUGGGAUAACUUCGGGAAACCGGAGCUAAUACCGGAUAAUAUUUCGAACCGCAUGGUUCGAUAGUGAAAGAUGGCUUUGCUAUCACUUAUAUAUGGACCUGCGCCGUAUUAGCUAGUUGGUAAGGUAACGGCUUACCAAGGCAACGAUACGUAGCCGACCUGAGAGGGUGAUCGGCCACACUGGAACUGAGACACGGUCCAGACUCCUACGGGAGGCAGCAGUAGGGAAUCUUCCGCAAUGGGCGAAAGCCUGACGGAGCAACGCCGCGUGAGUGAUGAAGGUCUUCGGAUCGUAAAACUCUGUUAUUAGGGAAGAACAAACGUGUAAGUAACUGUGCACGUCUUGACGGUACCUAAUCAGAAAGCCACGGCUAACUACGUG
rnacentral:rRNA from 1 species